AUGAGCAAGGCCAGCACACCCAGGAGCCGGCUUGCUGGGGAGAUCAGGACAGGGGUGGUAUCUCUGGCAUCUGUACGUGACUCAGUGGAGCGUUUCAGCUUACAGCACAGCUGUGGGGGCUGCCGGCCAGCUAGCUACAGGCAGGCCUCCCCCGAGGUCAUGCUCAGCUCCCUGCCAUUGCACCCUGCCAGCUCCGGGGCCUCCCGAGGGAGCCAGGGGCCAUCCACACCGGCUGGACCGUCCUGCUCCCACCUGUGUGUCUCCAGGUCCAGUGCAGACUUGGGUCAAGGACACGGCAGAUUCUCUCCUCUGCUCUCCCGGGUGCACCGUUCCCAGCUGGUCUUUGCUUGGAUCCUGCCAAGGGCAAGUGCUCAGGGAAGGAAUUGGGGAUGCAGAGACAUCCGUGGGGAGAAACACUUGUCAACACUGAGCCCGAAGCAGGAUUUCAGGAAGGAGGCGGGGAGGCGGGGCAAGCCCCUGCGGGCUCUGGGUUUCCGAAGCAUCUCGCGGCCUCAUCUUGUGCUGAGCCAAUCCUGAGCGCUGUGUAAGCACCUGGGGCUGUCCCCCGGCAGGCUGCCCUGGCCCAGCUUCAGUCUUGUCGUCCCAGGACCGCGCCCACUGGCCAGCCCUCGCCCGAGUGGGCCCUGCUCCCUCGAGCUCCAUCCCAGACCAUUCAGGGGCCCCACCUGCCAUCCCCAGAGUAUAACAUAAUUUCUGCUCAGAGGCCCUGUUGAGGGGCCCUCCCAGAGGGCAGGUGUCCCCCCAGGUGGGCAGGUGUUCCUCCUUCACAGAACAUUACUGAGCACCUACUGUGUGCCAUGCACCAGGCAAGCUCUUUGUAAGCCUCACCACAUUUAAC
rnacentral:lncRNA from 1 species